rnacentral:piRNA from 1 species
CUGCCUGAGCUUUGGGUCAGUUGUCACU